CUUCGAAUCAAUAACAAAUAUUUCUUUCAGAAAUCCAAACUGGAUUUCUAACGUAUAUGGUAGGCGUAAAACUUUAGAAGAGCGUUGGGAUGGGAGAUGAACUACAAGCAGAAGCAGCAAGUGAAAUUUUAGGAUUGAGGAUGAGGCUUAGGAAAUUGAGACUGAUCCUGCACCCAAACCUAUUAUCACCGGCAACAGAAUAGUGGAAUUAAAUUAUGUACUUAAUUGGGCUUGUAAUCUGCAAUAUGAACACUCCAAAAUCUGUACAAUGGGCAAAGUGGGAGUUUUAAAUGAGAUUGCAAAAAGUACAGGAUUGGUGAGCAAAAUCGUAUUUGGUUGCAACGCAUGUAACAGAACAUAUAACUACUACACCCGAGCAGAAAUAAAUCAAUUAUCAAUGUAGGAGCGGUUUGGGGAACAUUAGCUGCUGGCAGCACAUAUAGCCAUAUGUCAGAAUUGCUGGCUUGCAUGGACAUUCCUUCCAUGUCUGCAGACAUGUUCUAUAGCAUUUAGAGAGAGCUUGGCCAGGUUAGUCCUAUAUCAUCUUUCGUUAUCUUAGUUAUUAUGAGUAAGAUUCUACAAUCUAUUGUUUUUGUCAAUUUUGUAAGAAUGGGAAAAUUCGCUAAUAAACUCCAUGCUAGCUGCAGGAGCCAGAGAGAAGGAAAUCGCUAUACAGAAGGGCAACGUUUGCACAGAUGGUACACCAUGGAUCUCAGUAUAUUUGGACGGAUCAUGGAGCAAACGUUCCUAUGGUACCAACUUCUCAGCACUCUUUACAUUUAUAUAGCUCUUGUUUUCCUCCGUAAUUUCUUAAAUUCUCGUACCGCAUUCAUUAAAAAAUCGUUCUUUUCAGAACGCAUAAAUCAUUUACAUUUUACAAACGUUUUUAAGAGUAAUUGUGAUUGACAAUGCUUCCUAUCACAGCAGAAAGGUUGAGCAGAUUCCAACACUGUCAUGGCGAAAAGAACACAUUAUGAACUGGCUUAUGGAGAAAGAAGUGCCCAUUGAGGACAACAUGUUGAAACGAGAUUUACUUGCUGCAGUAGCUGAAGUGAAGCCUCGAUACGACAAGCACAACUUGAUGUUACAGCACAAGAAAGAGGUCAUGAGAUUCUCGUUUGCCACCAUAUCAUUGCGAAUUAAAUCCCAUUGAAAUGGUGUGGGCACAAGUAAAACACCAUAUUAAGAUGAAUAACACGACAUUUAAGGUAAAGAACAUGCAAGAGUUAAUCAAACUUGGUUAUGAAAAAGUCACGAUUGAAAACUGGCAACAUUAUAUAAAUAUACAGUGAGUUUUUUUAAAAUGCGAACAUAGGAGUUUACAUGCAAUGUAAUUUCCCUAUGUUCGAUUUUUAAAAAAACACAUCAAU